UUCCUUCCGUGCAGCUUUCAGCCUGCCCUACUGGCCUACCGGCCUGCUGGACCUCACGGGCCCCCGGCCUACCAAACCAGUUCGAUGACCCCGCACCGGCUCCUGGGCCUACGCGACCCCGGCCCACCUGACUCCCUCGCCCGGCCGGCCUCCUUCCUCCUCUUUCUCCUCUGACGCGCGGGCCCGCAGUCGCCAGCAC
rnacentral:lncRNA from 1 species